rnacentral:lncRNA from 1 species
AUGGGGUUGGUGGCGCGGGGCACUGAGAAGCAGCCAUGGGGGGAGCAUGCAGGAUGUUUUCUGUCCCUCCCCCACAGCCACCAGCAGUUGGGAAUGUGGGAUGCCAGGCUUUGGGGCCCUUGGCUCUGCUCUGCUCCUUCCCCUGCUCCUAGGAUGGGAGAUGGAGGCUGUGUGCUUGCAGGGGAGCUAGUAGGAAGGUCCAGCUGCUGUGGGGCAGGUCGAGCCUUCAGCUCCCUAACCCAGGGGCCCAGAGCAGGAUUGGGCAGUUGUGAUGCUGGGGCUUGUGCUGUCCCUGGACAGCAAGCCCCACAUCUCUCUGCAGCUGCUCUGUGGCUUCUCUCUGCAUCCCCCUGGAUUUGCACACCUAAGACAGCGUGGCAAGUUGCCUCAGUCCUGCUCUCUGUCCCGCAAGGUACACGCUUUCCUGCCCACACACCAGCUUUUCUCUUUUGCUUGGUGGGGCCGGCACCAGCCCCUCUGGCUCAGAGGCCCAGCUUUUUAAACCUGCAAAUCUUCCAGCCUGCAGGAGAGGGGUCUGCGCACACCCUGUCCUGGAGCUUGUGCCCCCGGUCUGGCCCAUUGGGAGCUUGGGAAGGGCUUGUGGCAGUGGGCUGGGGGCACAUGGAGCAAAGCCCACAAAAUGUAUGCUUGGGCCUCACUGCAGAACCCUGCUCUGAUAAAGCAUGUACGCAGAGCUCUCCUGGCCUGCAGCUAUGGCUCCACAAAGGUCGUCUGCCCUCCUGCUGCUGCCCUCGUGGGGCGGCCGGGCUCCCCUGGCUCUGGGGCAGAGGCUCAGCAGUGGGAUGGAACGAGAAGCGGGUGUGUAGGGAGUCACUUGGUGUUGUGUGCUGGGAUUGUGCCCCUUUGUCUCUAGGGCUGAUCACUCCUACUCUGUCCUCCUGCGCUCCAGCAUGCGUAGGCAGCUCUGCCACGGCACGGGGUGGACGCCGACGCAGGAUACCUUGGACUGGGCUGCCUGCCUCUGCCUUUCACUGCACAGCAGCAGGAAGCACCUCUGGCUGCUUUCUGGGGGGCAGGAGCCCCCCUGCGCUCUGUGCCUCCAGCCCCCACAGGCAGGCGGGCUCCUGGGUCCCCCAGCUGCUGUCGCACCCCGUGUCAGGCAGGGGCAGCCAGCUCCCGGGGAGCCGUGCCCACAGCUGUUCUACAUCCCCUCGGCUUUGGUAUCUGUGA